GACGAACGCUGGCGGCGUGCCUAAUACAUGCAAGUAGGACGCAGUUGCGAACGGGUGAGUAACGCGUAGGUAACUACCUAUUAGAGGGGGCUAACUAUUUGAAACGAUAGCUAAUACCGCAUACUAGUAGAUGGACCUGCGUUGUAUUAGCUAGUAGGUAGGGUAAUGGCCUACCUAGGCAACGAUACAUAGCCGACCUGUGAUGGUGAUCGGCCACACUGGGACUGUGACACGGACCAGACUCUUACGGGAGGCAGCAGUAGGAAAUCUUCGGCAAUGGGGGGAGCCCUGACCGAGCAACGCCGCGAGAGUGAAGAAGGUUUUCGGAUCGUAAAGCUCUGGUGUUAAGGAAGCGGUACUUAACCAGAAAGGGACGGCUAACGACGUGCCAGCAGCGGCGGUAAUUG
rnacentral:rRNA from 1 species